GUCUCUGUGGAGCAAUUGGUUAGCGCGUUCGGCUGUUAACCGAAAGGUUGCUGGUUCAAGCCCAGCCAGGGACG
rfam:Ciona savignyi cont_8456, whole genome shotgun sequence.